rnacentral:rRNA from 1 species
GUAGUUAGCCGGGGCUUCCUCCUUGACUACCGUCACUUUCUUCGUUUGCCAAGGACAGAGGUUUACAACCCGAAAGCCUUACUUCCCUCACGCGGCGUUGCUGGGUCAGGCUUGCGCCCAUUGCCCAAUAUUCCCCACUGCUGCCUCCCGCAGGAGUCUGGACCGUAUCUCAGUUCCAGUGUGGCCGAUCAGCCUCUCAGCUCGGCUACCCAUCGUCGACUUGGUGGGCUGUUACUCCGCCAACUAUCUAAUGGGACGCGAACCCCUCUUAUACCGGAUUGCUCCUUUGACCUCAUCCCGAUGCCGAGUCGUGGUCUUAUGCGGUAUUAGCAACCGUUUCCGGUUGUUAUCCCCCUGUACCAAGGCAGGUUGUUCACGCGUUACUCACCCGUUUCGCCACUAAGUUAUCACCGAAAUCAAUAACUCCGUUCGACUUGCAUGUGUUAGGCACGCCGCCAGCGUUCGUCCUGAGCCAGGAUCAAACUCUGA